CUCAAUUAUUCUUACCCUGAAGACGGAGAAUGAGACUGUUGUGAUGAAUCGUGGCUCGCAUCUGGAGAGACCACACUAGGCCAGUGCAGUUCCGCGUGAGAGAGGGCGAUGGAGACAAGGGGGGAAAGAGAGAAGAAGGGGCGAAGGUCAGGAAGCAUCUGCUUUUUGGGCUGUGAUGUAACUGCUCCCAGGUAAAGGCAGGAGGUAAACCCAAUGGAUGCUGGGAAUGUAGGACAAUUGCCAUGGCAACAGAUGGGGGCCGUGACGCCUAUGGGUGAUGUCAUCACUGGGUUUGGACUGAAAGCUGGUUCCUGAUACCAACAAAGACGGCAAAGGCGGACUGCGACCCAAGAAAGCGCAGUGGUCACCAGUGCCUCCUUGCGGCAAUUCACAAAUAGUUAGACAUGGUCUAGCUCUAGGAGGUCUGGUUGAGGCUGGCACUGUCGCAGCUCUUUACUCUGAGGGAUCCUCUGAUCCUCCUGAGAGCUAGAGGUGGCAAAGAUAUUCCUCAACAUUUUCCAGUACACCAAUGCACAUCAUGGUUUUCUGGACACCUCUCCGUCUCCAAUGUGCGUGAGCGUCAUUUUUUCCAAGUGGUAUUCAACUUUGUCUUCUUCCAUGGAGUGAGCAGUGUGCUCAUUGACUUGAUCAGAGACACAAAGGAAAAGAAUCAGACCUGUUUCCAAGUGACCGAGACAGAACCACAAAAGAAAAACACGAGGUUCAUGUGGGAACCGAACUCAGGUCCUGUGACAAGCACCUUCAUGUGCUGAGCCAUCUGUCCACCUCAACCUAAAUAUCCAGCCUUAGAGGAUUAAACAAACUAUUGUUUAUCCAACUAGGAAAGCAUGUAAAUCAGCUGAAAGUGUUGAAUAGAAUAAAAGCAGUAUGUAAAAACAUUUGCAUUCUCUGAUUCAUCGUUUUAAAAAAGCAUGGAAGUUCAUUGAGGUUUGGCCUGUUGCUAUGUGCUGGAAUGCUAAAUUCUAUUCCCAAAGGUCUGGACCUAGGAGUGUGAAUUCCCAUGUGUAAAGCUUUUGCUGUGCAAACCUUUUUCCUUGGUUUAAAACUAUUGGUGAAAUAAAAUUGGCUACAGCCAAUUACUG
rnacentral:lncRNA from 1 species